ACGUUUUGCAGGCUGCCACCGUGUCGGAGGCGAGGCGAGGAAGGGAGCUGGAAUAACAAAGGUGGCAGCUGAGCAUCCCUGGAGAGGGUGGGUGGUAUGAAAGCACUUCCAGACCUCUAGGGACACCAGGGAGUCAUGGUCCCAGCACAUUGCUGUGUGAUUGAGCCCCUCCUCAGCCUGUGGGUGGCCUAAGUUCACAGGGAGGUAAUGGGGUAGAUUGGAUACCUCUGGGGUCUUGGAAGAAGCUAUGACUUAUUUACUGUCUACUAUGUGGCCCUGACAUUCUCCAGCUUUCAUGGUGUUCCUGCAAUCCAAGUGCCGCUUAUCUCUCUACAGGUCCACCAGAUGACCGGCUGGCCUCCUAAUUGGGCUUCCUGCAUUCCUGCCUGUGCUCGGAGCUCCCUUCUCCACUUGCCUGCUGGAGGAGGUUUACAAACAAAAUCAGAUCAUGGCACUCCCCUGGGGCCCUGCAUCCUGUGGCCAGCAGGUCUUGGAAACGCCCCUGUACCCCAGAAACUUCCUGAUCAGUCCCUGGUCAGUGUAUAUCAUGCUUCCUGUGACAUGACAUCAACUUUUCAGUGACUUCCACUGGUUUUGGCCCAGCUCGAAGAGCCUGACACCUCUGCAGGGAAUUCUACCAGGGAGCUCAGGAGGGGGAAUUGCACUGAAGAUUUGUCCCAUCGUGAAGCAAGAGCACUGGAACUUACACUCCACCAUCAGGCCCUGUCACAGGAGAACAAAGAAGGAAGGCAGAGGAGAUCAUGCUCCGGCCAGCAGGGAAUCUCCAUUUUUUUCAGCCUCAUACCUUGGAAAGUACAAAGGAGUGAGAGCUGGGACUACCAGCCAGAGGGUUCAUGGAGGUAGUGGGAGGGGAAGAUGGGUUCUGCAUGGAGCCACUCCAGGGACUUUUCUUCUGUCUCACAGCCUGACAAUCACCUCUAGCUGUUCUCAGUCCCAUUCUCAUCAAUGACCUCGUCUCCUGAUUUUGUACAAUAUCUAGGUGACCUUCUCUUCUUUCCAUCUUCAAACGCUUGAUCAUUGAUGCUCCCUUUUCUCUUCUCUCUCCUCCUGGGAAAAGAGAAGGACCAACAUCCCCCUUUCCCUUCCUCCUGUGCUGUCCCGACCCCUCUGAGACCUGGCUCUAGCAGUAAGUCCCUCUCUCUUCUGCAGCACCAGCCUCUGCCCAUCCCUGCCCUCUGCACACAAAGCUCUCACAUUGUCUGCACUUUAAGAACUUUUGUGGCAAACCCUGGCAAAUCCUGCCACUUGUUUCCACUCUUCUCAAAUGGCUUUGAGGUCAUCAUUGACCUAUCCCAUUUGACCCUGUCCUGUAUCUGAUGUUGUACCCUUUCUCCUUGAUCCCACUCUGGCAACUCUCCCACUCCCCUUUCUUGGAUCAACUGUCUUGCUCCUCAGUCUUGAUCAAUGCCUCCUUCUCUCUCUUUAGCCUUGGCCCUUUUUGGCCAGGGAAAUAAAUGUGAAAUACAUAAAGCUUCAUUUUAUCUUAUGAUUAUAGCUAUGUUGAUGUUACCCAAGACCUAAAAGUCACACUCUCUAAUUACACUUCCCUCCUGUGUUCUGGGUCCUCUUGGACCAGUCCUUACUCUGGCUCCCCUCCUGGAUGUCUCCCAGACUUCUAAUUAGAAUUACUGUUUCCUAUAUCAAGCUAAUUAUCUUUCCCACCAACCUCCUCCAUCCUUGGGUGAAAGCAUCACUUGGUUGCAAAAGUCAGAAAUCUGGGUUUCAUUCUUGCGGUAGGUAGAAUAAUGCCCCCAGGCCCCAGGUUUUGACAUCCGAAUCCCUGGGACUUUGCAGAUGUGAUUCAGUUUAGGAUUUUGAGAUGGGGAGAUUAUCUGGGAGAGCCUGAUGUCAUCAUAAGGUUCUUAUAAGAGGGAGGCAGGAGGGUUAGAGUGAGUAGUAAGAGAUGCAACAGUGGAAGCAAGAGGUUGGGGUGAUGUGGCCACAAGCCCAGGAGUGCUGACAGACAUCAGAAGCUGGAAGGGACAAGGAAUGGUUUCUCCUCUGGAGCCUCCAGAAAGAACCAGCCCUGCUGACACCUUGAUUUUAGCCUUGGAAGACUCAUUUUGGACUUCUGACCUUGAACGUUGUAAGAGAAUAAAUUUACAUAUUUUAAACUGGUAAAAAAAAAAAAAAAAAA
rnacentral:lncRNA from 1 species